UUUUUUUUUUUUUUUUUUUUCGGUUCUUUUCCUCUUUGCUAGUCAUUGCGAGGUGCGAAUGGAUAAAGCAGUUCCGGGUUUUGAAUGCAGCAUAAGAUUGUCAUUUCAGUUUGGUGAGGCUGGAGUUUUAGUUGUUAGGCGGGACAUUCAUAAAGUUAGAGACCCAGGCGGGAUGCGGAAUGGUUUUUGAAUAUUUCAUUAGCUUGUGCUGCCUUUCAGCAACUUUAAAGCUGGUUAGGUAUUAGCCUGAAAAGGUCAGAGUAGGUAGACAGGUUUAGUUCUGGGGCAGGCUCAUGGUACAGAUCAUUGAGAAUUUGGCGACUUCAGCAAAGAAGGCCACAAACAUCUUUUAUCAUUGAAAAAGGCAAAAAAGCACCCUUCUGACCACAAUUUUUUGAUAGAUGAUACUGUUUUUGAAAUACACAGUUUUUAAAAGGCAGCGAAUUGUAGUUUUCUUAGGGAACAAAACUUAAGUCAUUUGGAAGCAAGUGCUUUGGUCAUUACUAAGAAAAUACCCUGUGUGUGUUGGGGGGGGGGUCCUCAAAAGUUUGGUUCAGAAUCAAGGUUUAAACUGGAAAGGCCAGUGAAGGAAGCUCCCUGCCUUGUAGAAGUGUUGGGUUAUGUCACUGCUGGCCCCUUCAGCUUUUAUAUGCCAAUUGCAACUAGAGAGUUGUUCUUUUUCCAUGGAAGUGUAUAGAUUUUUGUGAUUGGAAGAGAGUUUUAUGUAUCUGAUACCAGCGUUGAAUGUGUGAUGUGCAUUUGCUUUUUAACUUGCAUCUUAAUUUGGGACCUGUUCUUGUCACUUGCAUAAUAGAUAUUUGCAUUGUCCACCCUAUUAUCUGCUGUUUUAUCUGCUUUUGUAAAAUGUUAUCACUGUGUUUCUUCAUCUUUGUGAUGCUGAUAGCCAGUGUGAAAAAGCAUUUCCCUUCCCAUUGAUUAAUUAUAUUACCUUUCUAUAACUAUUUCUUGAAAUUUAAAUUUUUCAAGAACAGUAAAUCCCUGCUGCAUGACUUUAGUUUUGGGAAACAGAAGUGGUACAAUAAGUCAUAGGUGGUAUGUAUUUUGGUCACUGACAGUUGGGAGUUUUUCUGCUGGAGAUGUUAAGGGCACCUAAGCUGAUUUUUGAAGAGUUUUGUAUCUUCAGUGAAAGCUUGCCCCACUUACCCAAAUUUUGUGUUGCUUAAAGUGUUGCCCAUAUGUUUAAAUUUUUUCAUGAAUGCCAUGUAAUUCUUAGGCCAAUGUGUUGGUCAGAAUCCCUCUUUUUUUUUUUUUUUUUUAGGUAGCUCAAGGGAGUAUUUUAAAAAGGCAUCCAUUCUGAAAGAUUGUCCACAUGCUCAUUAAAACAGGAACAAUUCUAGUUCAGCUUUCAUUGUGUUUGCAUUUUGUGAUAUGCAAAAUGAGUUUGAUUGAAUAAAGAGGUGGUAAAUGACCAGACUGAAAAAAAAAAAAAUGAUUUCAUGGUCAGGUAGAAUAUAGAAAGCUGAGAUUAUGUUUGCAUUUGGUGUUUUGCUUUUAGUACUCCCACAACUGAGGCGUACACAAUGCAGAAGAAAAAGGGAAGUGACUUUCAGUGUAUUACACAUUUUAAACAAGCUUUCCACAGCACUUGGCCUUUUGGAGGGCACAGAGAUUUGCAAGUGAAGGCAAGAGAAUUUAGCAUCUGGGUGAAGCCCUCAGAAGAGAAGUUACUUAGCAGUGGAAAGGAGGAAUUAUCACUUAUUUUUUACCUUACAGGGCAUAACAUCAGUUAUGUGAAAGCUUUUAAUAAAACACUUAGGUUGUAAUUAAUUUUUAAAACGUUGGUCCCAUUUAUUGCUUUUUGUCCUCUUGUCUCUUCUACCUACACCCUAAUAUGAUUACCUGCCAUGAUUCUGCAAAUGCUCUUACUGGAAUUACUUGCUGAAGAGAGUGGCAUUUAAAGGCCAUUUCAUGUACAUUAUCUUUAGAGAUUUUUAUCCUCCUGGGUUUGUUUUCCUUAAAGUAAGUCCAAUACAUACACUGAGGCACCUGUAGUCAAAAUAGCUUUCUCAUUAACAAUCACCCCAGAGAGUAGUGGAGUCUCAGGAGUCUGGUAAAAGUGUGAAGAGACCCCACCAGUGGGUGAAGUGAGUGAAUCAAGCCAGGUGUCGGGGCCAUUGUGCUUUGCCCCCUCACCAUCUUCACUGGACCCCCAGUGGUCUGGCCCCAAGGCUCAGUCCCAGGAGCUAGGGCUAUAACCAGAGGACACAGUUGCCUUCAGUCCCUGGAGGAUUGCAAGAAUGCUGUCAUCUUUUCUCUUUGAAGGCAGCUAGGCAGCAGCCACCAAACUCUGCUGGAGAGGAGUGUUGUCCCCUGACUCCACCUCCCGCCUCAUACCACUCUCUCACACAGCCUCAGCCCCUCCCAGGUCUCCUUUGCCCUGACCUCUAUAGAACCACCCUCUGCCUCAGGACUAGAUGGGCAGAGUCCACAAGCAGCCCUUAUCUGUCUAUCUAUUUACUCUGAAAAGGAGUUAAGGAAACUGCAGAGAGUUUUCUUUUGGCUAGCUUCAGGAUUCUUGCAGUACAGUUUGCAGCUUUGACAAGCCAUGCCAAGGACAAUUCCUGGCAAGUGUUCUGGUUUUAAUUAUGAAUUGUGGCAUUCAAUACACUAAUGGUACCAAUAGUAGUAACACUAAUAAUAAUUACUAGCCAUGUAACUUACGGCAAAUUAUUUAGCUUCUCCAUGCUGCUUUUCCCAUCCAUAAAAUGGCGAUGAUAAUUGCACCCAGAAUGGUUGCAAGGAUUAAAUGAGUUGAUAUAUGCAAAAUCGAAAGAACUGUGCCUGGCCCCAAGAAAGCAUUCUAUUGGUGUGAACUAUAUUAAGUUUUAAGCAUCAAGCGUGGAGACAAGUCUUUGUAUAAAUAAUUUCAUUGACUCCUCCUGUUAACUCUCUCAGGUGUACGUUUGCUUAUUGUAUCGGCCUCACUGAUGAGAAAAUUGUGGCACAGGGAGGUUUAAGUAACUUGACCGAGGUGAAAAAUCUAGGCACCCAUGGGGACAACCAUUUGGGUGUGCAGCCCCGUGCUUACACUCACCUUCCCAAGCAUUGUACACUGUAGCCUUGUUUCUUCACCAGAGGAGGGACUUUAGAUCAUCUGCUUCACUCCACCCAUCCCAUGGCCUCCUCAGAGCCUCUUCACUGGGAUGAUGUCGGGAACUGGAAUGGUCUCCUCCAUGCCUUUUCUGGGUGAUGGGCAAUGUUUCUCAGGCCCUGGGAGCCACAGUGUGAGUGCUGGCAUGGCCCUUUGUCCCAGCCUCUCAGUGAUGACUAGUGAGCCUGAGAGCUGCCUCCAGCUGGGCCAGGGUCUCCCUGCCCAUCCAGCAGUACGUAGCGCCAUCCCAUCACUGUGCUUUCUGGAGCAUUCUCUAUCCUUGUUCUUUGACCCAGGCUGGUCCUGCCCUCUCCCUGCACCCCCUGCCCCCACCUCCCCUACACACUCCCCAUCCCCCAGAGGGCUUCCCUGAAGUACAGAUCCUGCCCUGAGCCAGGCAGCCCCCAGCCACAUUCUCAUUGGUUUAAAAAUGACUGGAGAUGGAGUUCCCAUCGUGGCGCAGUGGUUAACGAAUCCGACUAGGAACCAUGAGGUUGCGGGUUCGGUCCCUGCCCUUGCUCAGUGGGUUAACGAUCCGGUGUUGCCGUGAGCUUUGGUGUAGGUCUCAGACGCGGCUCAGAUCUUGAGUUGCUGUGGCUCUGGCGUAGGCCAGUGCCUACAGCUCCGAUUCGACCCCUAGCCUGGGAACCUCCAUAUGCCGCGGGAAUGGCCCAAAGAAAUAG
ensembl:lncRNA